GUAGCGAAAUGCGAUACUUGGUGUGAAUUGCAGAAUCCCGUGAACCAUCGAGUCUUUGAACGCAAGUUGCGCCCGAAGCCAUUAGGCCGAGGGCACAUCUGCC
rnacentral:rRNA from 1 species